ACGUUACAUCACUGGAACUUUGCUCUUACGGGCAGAAUGGCUCUCAAUGCUUCAGAUACCGUAACUGAACAUUUGUUUGUGGUGUAAAACACGGUGAAGAUUAUACUUGGCUCUGGAUAAAAAUGAGUCAUAAAAUUCCAUUGUGUAUAUGUACAGCACACUCGUCAUUCAUCUGUUGAUGGACAUCUCUGCUGGUCCCAUUUCCUAGAUAUGGGGGAUCCUGCUGUAGUGGACACAGAGUGAGAGAAUCUCUGCAAUGUGUUGUCUUGAGGUCCUUCAAGCAUACAUCCAAGAGUGGUGUAGACGAAAUUCAGGCAGUUUAUCCUGGACCACAAGCAGCUUGAGGCAAAGCAAUCUACUAGCAAGAAGUAAAGGCUCCACAAUGACAGCCUCGGGUCUUCAUGAGAGUCAGCAGAAGUCCAGGAACUCUGUGAGCCAGAAGUAAUCAAAUGCCUCCAAAUAUUUAAUUUCCUAUUCCAGGAAUGUGAACAGGUGUAAUU